ACGCUGGCGGCGUGCCUAAUACAUGCAAGUCGAACGCACAGCGAAAGGUGCUUGCACCUUUCAAGUGAGUGGCGAACGGGUGAGUAACACGUGGACAACCUGCCUCAAGGCUGGGGAUAACAUUUGGAAACAGAUGCUAAUACCGAAUAAAACUUAGUGUCGCAUGACACAAAGUUAAAAGGCGCUUCGGCGUCACCUAGAGAUGGAUCCGCGGUGCAUUAGUUAGUUGGUGGGGUAAAGGCCUACCAAGACAAUGAUGCAUAGCCGAGUUGAGAGACUGAUCGGCCACAUUGGGACUGAGACACGGCCCAAACUCCUACGGGAGGCUGCAGUAGGGAAUCUUCCACAAUGGGCGAAAGCCUGAUGGAGCAACGCCGCGUGUGUGAUGAAGGCUUUCGGGUCGUAAAGCACUGUUGUAUGGGAAGAACAGCUAGAAUAGGAAAUGAUUUUAGUUUGACGGUACCAUACCAGAAAGGGACGGCUAAAUACGUGCCAGCAGCCGCGGUAAUACGUAUGUCCCGAGCGUUAUCCGGAUUUAUUGGGCGUAAAGCGAGCGCAGACGGUUUAUUAAGUCUGAUGUGAAAGCCCGGAGCUCAACUCCGGAAUGGCAUUGGAAACUGGUUAACUUGAGUGCAGUAGAGGUAAGUGGAACUCCAUGUGUAGCGGUGGAAUGCGUAGAUAUAUGGAAGAACACCAGUGGCGAAGGCGGCUUACUGGACUGCAACUGACGUUGAGGCUCGAAAGUGUGGGUAGCAAACAGGAUUAGAUACCCUGGUAGUCCACA
rnacentral:rRNA from 1 species